rnacentral:lncRNA from 1 species
UGUCAUAAAUAUGUAUUCAUUAACAAUAACUGAUUAUCACCAUUUCUCGUUUUUACCAGUCCACUAGUAUCCAUGGGGAUCCAUAGGAGUCCCUGCUACAUGUGAACCAUUUCCCUUAAUAAUCUUAAUUCCAGGGCCGUCCCCAUACCCUGUCCGGUAUGAGAGCCAAAACAAUAAACCUCAAUACCCCGUCCGGUAUGAGGGUAAAGCGGGCCGUCCUCAUACCCUGUCCAGUAUGAGCGCCAAACAACAAAGUU